ACCCGUGAAUCCGACUUUUAUUCUUAGUUAUUCUUUUUUUCACAGAUAGGACCGUACGAUUGGUAAACGGGACCGACUCGUCAACAGGGGUCGUAGAGGUUUGUGUGAACGGGACCCGGGGAUAUGUGUGCAGUUUCUACUGGGACAUUUAUGAUGCCAAUGUCGUCUGCACAAAUCUUGGUUUUACCAGGGCGGUUGGUUCAUUUAUUGGAAGACUAAGUGAACUAAGCAACAAUGAGAUAGUUCUCUAUAAGCCGCUUUGCGAAGGGGACGAAGCCAGUCUGUUUAACUGCCCACAUGACGUCACAGGUCAUUGUAUCACGGGAGCGGGAGGAGUGGAGUGUUCAAAUGACGAGAUUUGUAUUCCGGGUGUGUGUGAAGGAGACCCAGAAAUCGAAGAACCUAUUUGUGAACCGCUGUUAGAGCACUGUUAUCGCCUAUUCUGGAAAG